rnacentral:rRNA from 1 species
GGGUUGUGAGGUUAAGCGACUAAGCGUACACGGUGGAUGCCCUGGCAGUCAGAGGCGAUGAAGGACGUGCUAAUCUGCGAUAAGCGUCGGUAAGGUGAUAUGAACCGUUAUAACCGGCGAUUUCCGAAUGGGGAAACCCAGUGUGAUUCGUCACACUAUCAUUAACUGAAUCCAUAGGUUAAUGAGGCGAACCGGGGGAACUGAAACAUCUAAGUACCCCGAGGAAAAGAAAUCAACCGAGAUUCCCCCAGUAGCGGCGAGCGAACGGGGAGCAGCCCAGAGCCUGAAUCAGUGUGUGUGUUAGUGGAAGCGUCUGGAAAGGCGUGCGAUACAGGGUGACAGCCCCGUACACAAAAAUACACAUGCUGUGAGCUCGAUGAGUAGGGCGGGACACGUGGUAUCCUGUCUGAAUAUGGGGGGACCAUCCUCCAAGGCUAAAUACUCCUGACUGACCGAUAGUGAACCAGUACCGUGAGGGAAAGGCGAAAAGAACCCCGGCGAGGGGAGUGAAAAAGAACCUGAAACCGUGUACGUACAAGCAGUGGGAGCACGCUUCGGCGUGUGACUGCGUACCUUUUGUAUAAUGGGUCAGCGACUUAUAUUCUGUAGCAAGGUUAACCGAAUAGGGGAGCCGAAGGGAAACCGAGUCUUAACUGGGCGUUAAGUUGCAGGGUAUAGACCCGAAACCCGGUGAUCUAGCCAUGGGCAGGUUGAAGGUUGGGUAACACUAACUGGAGGACCGAACCGACUAAUGUUGAAAAAUUAGCGGAUGACUUGUGGCUGGGGGUGAAAGGCCAAUCAAACCGGGAGAUAGCUGGUUCUCCCCGAAAGCUAUUUAGGUAGCGCCUCGUGAACUCAUCUCCGGGGGUAGAGCACUGUUUCGGCAAGGGGGUCAUCCCGACUUACCAACCCGAUGCAAACUGCGAAUACCGGAGAAUGUUAUCACGGGAGACACACGGCGGGUGCUAACGUCCGUCGUGAAGAGGGAAACAACCCAGACCGCCAGCUAAGGUCCCAAAGUCAUGGUUAAGUGGGAAACGAUGUGGGAAGGCCCAGACAGCCAGGAUGUUGGCUUAGAAGCAGCCAUCAUUUAAAGAAAGCGUAAUAGCUCACUGGUCGAGUCGGCCUGCGCGGAAGAUGUAACGGGGCUAAACCAUGCACCGAAGCUGCGGCAGCGACGCUGAUGCGUUGUUGGGUAGGGGAGCGUUCUGUAAGCCUGUGAAGGUGUGCUGUGAGGCAUGCUGGAGGUAUCAGAAGUGCGAAUGCUGACAUAAGUAACGAUAAAGCGGGUGAAAAGCCCGCUCGCCGGAAGACCAAGGGUUCCUGUCCAACGUUAAUCGGGGCAGGGUGAGUCGACCCCUAAGGCGAGGCCGAAAGGCGUAGUCGAUGGGAAACAGGUUAAUAUUCCUGUACUUGGUGUUACUGCGAAGGGGGGACGGAGAAGGCUAUGUUGGCCGGGCGACGGUUGUCCCGGUUUAAGCGUGUAGGCUGGUUUUCCAGGCAAAUCCGGAAAAUCAAGGCUGAGGCGUGAUGACGAGGCACUACGGUGCUGAAGCAACAAAUGCCCUGCUUCCAGGAAAAGCCUCUAAGCAUCAGGUAACAUCAAAUCGUACCCCAAACCGACACAGGUGGUCAGGUAGAGAAUACCAAGGCGCUUGAGAGAACUCGGGUGAAGGAACUAGGCAAAAUGGUGCCGUAACUUCGGGAGAAGGCACGCUGAUAUGUAGGUGAAGUCCCUCGCGGAUGGAGCUGAAAUCAGUCGAAGAUACCAGCUGGCUGCAACUGUUUAUUAAAAACACAGCACUGUGCAAACACGAAAGUGGACGUAUACGGUGUGACGCCUGCCCGGUGCCGGAAGGUUAAUUGAUGGGGUCAGCGCAAGCGAAGCUCUUGAUCGAAGCCCCGGUAAACGGCGGCCGUAACUAUAACGGUCCUAAGGUAGCGAAAUUCCUUGUCGGGUAAGUUCCGACCUGCACGAAUGGCGUAAUGAUGGCCAGGCUGUCUCCACCCGAGACUCAGUGAAAUUGAACUCGCUGUGAAGAUGCAGUGUACCCGCGGCAAGACGGAAAGACCCCGUGAACCUUUACUAUAGCUUGACACUGAACAUUGAGCCUUGAUGUGUAGGAUAGGUGGGAGGCUUUGAAGUGUGGACGCCAGUCUGCAUGGAGCCGACCUUGAAAUACCACCCUUUAAUGUUUGAUGUUCUAACGUGGACCCGUGAUCCGGGUUGCGGACAGUGUCUGGUGGGUAGUUUGACUGGGGCGGUCUCCUCCUAAAGAGUAACGGAGGAGCACGAAGGUUGGCUAAUCCUGGUCGGACAUCAGGAGGUUAGUGCAAUGGCAUAAGCCAGCUUGACUGCGAGCGUGACGGCGCGAGCAGGUGCGAAAGCAGGUCAUAGUGAUCCGGUGGUUCUGAAUGGAAGGGCCAUCGCUCAACGGAUAAAAGGUACUCCGGGGAUAACAGGCUGAUACCGCCCAAGAGUUCAUAUCGACGGCGGUGUUUGGCACCUCGAUGUCGGCUCAUCACAUCCUGGGGCUGAAGUAGGUCCCAAGGGUAUGGCUGUUCGCCAUUUAAAGUGGUACGCGAGCUGGGUUUAGAACGUCGUGAGACAGUUCGGUCCCUAUCUGCCGUGGGCGCUGGAGAACUGAGGGGGGCUGCUCCUAGUACGAGAGGACCGGAGUGGACGCAUCACUGGUGUUCGGGUUGUCAUGCCAAUGGCACUGCCCGGUAGCUAAAUGCGGAAGAGAUAAGUGCUGAAAGCAUCUAAGCACGAAACUUGCCCCGAGAUGAGUUCUCCCUGACCCUUUAAGGGUCCUGAAGGAACGUUGAAGACGACGACGUUGAUAGGCCGGGUGUGUAAGCGCAGCGAUGCGUUGAGCUAACCGGUACUAAUGAACCGUGAGGCUUAACCUUACAACGCCGAAG